UGGGGAAUUUUGCACAAUGGGGGAAACCCUGAUGCAGCGACGCCGCGUGAUUUAGAAGGCCUUCGGGUUGUAAAAAUCUUUUGUAUGGGAAGAAAAUGACAGUACCAUACGAAUAAGGACCGGCUAAUUACGUGCCAGCAGCCGCGGUAAUACGUAAGGUCCGAGCGUUGUCCGGAAUCAUUGGGCGUAAAGGGUACGUAGGCGGAUAAGCAAGUUAGAAGUGAAAUCCUAUAGUUCAACUAUAGUAAGCUUUUAAAACUGCUCAUCUUGAGGUAUGGAAGGGAAAGUGGAAUUCCUAGUGUAGCGGUGAAAUGCGCAGAUAUUAGGAGGAAUACCGGUGGCGAAGGCGACUUUCUGGCCAUAUACUGACGCUGAGGUACGAAAGCGUGGGUAGCAAACAGG
rnacentral:rRNA from 1 species